ACGCUCGACACCUACGGGAGGCAGCAGUGAGGAAUAUUGGUCAAUGGACGCAAGUCUGAACCAGCCAUGCCGCGUGCAGGAUGACGGCUCUAUGAGUUGUAAACUGCUUUUGUACGAGGGUAAACGCAGAUACGUGUAUCUGUCUGAAAGUAUCGUACGAAUAAGGAUCGGCUAACUCCGUACCAGCAGCCGCGGUAAUCUGAGCGGGCUGGCAAGGC
rnacentral:rRNA from 1 species